rnacentral:rRNA from 1 species
GAUGAACGCUGGCGGCGUGCCUAAUACAUGCAAGUCGAGCGAACGGACGAGAAGCUUGCUUCUCUGAUGUUAGCGGCGGACGGGUGAGUAACACGUGGAUAACCUACCUAUAAGACUGGGAUAACUUCGGGAAACCGGAGCUAAUACCGGAUAAUAUUUUGAACCGCAUGGUUCAAAAGUGAAAGACGGUCUUGCUGUCACUUAUAGAUGGAUCCGCGCUGCAUUAGCUAGUUGGUAAGGUAACGGCUUACCAAGGCAACGAUGGAUAGCCGACCUGAGAGGGUGAUCGGCCACACUGGACCUGAGACACGGUCCAGACUCCUACGGGAGGCAGCAGUAGGGAAUCUUCCGCAAUGGGCGAAAGCCUGACGGAGCAACGCCGCGUGAGUGAUGAAGGUCUUCGGAUCGUAAAACUCUGUUAUUAGGGAAGAACAUAUGUGUAAGUAACUGUGCACAUCUUGACGGUACCUAAUCAGAAAGCCACGGCUAACUACGUG